GUGGCUACAUGUGGCUAAUGGAUACCGUAUUGGACAGUGCAAAUUAUACAACUUCUCAGCAGCACAGAAAGUUCUAUUGGACAGUUGUUCUAGAGUCUUCAAAAAUAAUUAAAGACAAGCAAGAUCAGUUCCAUGAUGCCUGGGAUGGACUGAGUCUUGGAUUAAAGGCUGAGACAACCUUGGUCCUGGAGAUGGCAAUUUAUGGAGGCCUUUGAGUGAUUGUUGUAUUGCUGCUAAAGAGGGCCCAAAACUUGGAUAUUGUUUAAAGCCAAAUCAAGGUCCUCUUCAACGUGAUCUUCAAGCGUGAAAUAGGACACGGGCUUUCACUUAUUUUAUACAAGUAGUACCGGUUUUCUAGGACUUGCUUACCUGGUGACCAAAACCAUGUACUGACAAUAUGACAGGUUGGUGGUACUGGUGACUACUGAGACUAAAACAAACUAUACGUGACUCAAACAGAAUCAAAUUUCUGCCUAUCAGUACCAUGCUCCUUAAGCAAAGGAAGUAGCGUAACUCUACGCCCUCCUUAUAAAGGACCACUGGAAAAUUAUAUAUCUCUUCAGACUUC